rnacentral:rRNA from 2 species
GAUAGGUGGGAGGCUUUGAAGUGUGGACGCCAGUCUGCAUGGAGCCGACCUUGAAAUACCACCCUUUAAUGUUUGAUGUUCUAACGUGGACCCGUGAUCCGGGUUGCGGACAGUGUCUGGUGGGUAGUUUGACUGGGGCGGUCUCCUCCUAAAGAGUAACGGAGGAGCACGAAGGUUGGCUAAUCCUGGUCGGACAUCAGGAGGUUAGUGCAAUGGCAUAAGCCAGCUUGACUGCGAGCGUGACGGCGCGAGCAGGUGCGAAAGCAGGUCAUAGUGAUCCGGUGGUUCUGAAUGGAAGGGCCAUCGCUCAACGGAUAAAAGGUACUCCGGGGAUAACAGGCUGAUACCGCCCAAGAGUUCAUAUCGACGGCGGUGUUUGGCACCUCGAUGUCGGCUCAUCACAUCCUGGGGCUGAAGUAGGUCCCAAGGGUAUGGCUGUUCGCCAUUUAAAGUGGUACGCGAGCUGGGUUUAGAACGUCGUGAGACAGUUCGGUCCCUAUCUGCCGUGGGCGCUGGAGAACUGAGGGGGGCUGCUCCUAGUACGAGAGGACCGGAGUGGACGCAUCACUGGUGUUCGGGUUGUCAUGCCAAUGGCACUGCCCGGUAGCUAAAUGCGGAAGAGAUAAGUGCUGAAAGCAUCUAAGCACGAAACUUGCCCCGA